CAGGGCCCUCAGCCCGAGCAGUUGCCUGUUGAGAUGUCUGCCUGUCCCUUCUAGGGCUUCCUGAACUCCUCUCUGGAUCCCAGCCGCAAGGCCACCCCCCCCACCAACUUCCCACACGGCGCUGGGGGUGGGGGUGGGGCCUGCGCCAGAAGAUCACCGCAAAAGCUUGGCAAGAAGUGUUCUUAGUUCUCCUGAUUGGAGGCGUUGCCUGCUGCCCGGCCCUCCGCCCUCACCUGCGGAUUAGGCCCCGCCUGCCUGCGGCGUCCCCAGGUGAGUCAAGCGGCAGCUCCGGCCCACCCACCUGUCCAGGUUCUGCCCGCCCCAGCCGGAAGCUUCCUCCUUGGACUGUGCACAGUUCCUGCAGGUGCUUUCCCAGCCUGGAUACUCCUCCGCAGUACUCCUCUGAUUCAGGUGCUCCACCUGCACAUUAUCUCCAGUCCUAGGCGUCCCUCUGACAGGGGCUUGCAGAGCCGGACCCCACGGUGUUCCCUUACAAAUAGCCAAUUUCCAGGACUCUGGCCUCCAGGGCUGCCUGGC